rnacentral:tmRNA from 1 species
GGGGUUGUACUGGUUUCGACGGGGGUGUGGAAGUUUGGGAAGCCAUCCGCAGACUCCGGGACUGCGUAAAAACCUGGAAUUAAAUAUAAAAGCUAACAACGAAGAUUACGCUUUAGCUGCUGCUUAAUGCGGCUUGUCGGCCGGGGAUCGCUCACUGUCCCCGUCACCGGCAUCAAACAGGUGAGGCCCUUUGCUGUCAAAGCUUUGAGACAGUAAAAGAAUCAUGAAGCUACUGACCUUGUAAGCCUGUCUUUCGGCGUACAGGGAAGGGAAUGUGAAUAGAAUGACUGUGAUGGGAGAUGCCUGAG